UAGCCGUAAACGAUACUCGCUAGGUGUCGGCCACGGUGCGACCGUUGUCGGUGCCGUAGGGAAGCCGUGAAGCGAGCCACCUGGGAAGUACGGCCGCAAGGCUGAAACUUAAAGGAAUUGGCGGGGGAGCACAACAACGGGUGGAGCUUGCGGUUUAAUUGGAUUCAACGCCGGAAAUCUUACCGGGACCGACAGCAACAUGAAGGCCAAGCUGAAGACUUUGCCGGAUUAGCUGAGAGGAGGUGCAUGGCGUAGACGU
rnacentral:rRNA from 1 species